rnacentral:rRNA from 1 species
UCCAGUGUCAUACCACUUGCAGUUCAGACUAGGUAAUCCACCUGAAGUUAAGUAGGUUUUGGCCGGACCAGCACUUGGAUGGGAGACCAACUAGGGAAGCUGGGAUCCUGCUGGAG